GUAAAAAGCUUUAUUGCUUCCAU
rnacentral:snRNA from 1 species